CCUUUGGUGGUGCCAAUUGCCUUCUCAACCUUAGCCGCCUUUUCUCGUAGGAAAUAGACCUUCUCAUCAAGCUUCCUCAGCCUCUUCUCAAAAUUCUCUAAGAUCAGCAAUAUAUUGCAGUAAUUUAAUCUAUCAACCAAAAACAAGAAAAUAAACUAGAAGAAAAGAAAGAAAGAAAAAAAACCCAACCAUUUAGCCUAACCUUUUUUGGAGCUGGCUAGCCUGUCUUCUUUCUUGAGAGGGGUCAUCUCCUCAUCGACUUCUAUCAUGGCCUCCUCAAAGAUAUCUACGCCAUAGACUUCAUGGAUUUUUUGGUGAGAUUCCACCUUUGCUCUCUUCUCUCAUCCGGCUACUUUUACCCCGUUCUCUUC
rnacentral:lncRNA from 1 species